UACGUAGGGUGCGAGCGUUGUCCGGAAUUAUUGGGCGUAAAGGGCUCGUAGGCGGUUUGUCGCGUCGGGAGUGAAAACCAGGUGCUUAACACCUGGCUUGCUUUCGAUACGGGCAGACUAGAGGUAUGCAGGGGAGAACGGAAUUCCUGGUGUAGCGGUGAAAUGCGCAGAUAUCGGGAGGAACACCGGUGGCGAAGGCGGUUCUCUGGGCCUGUACUGACGCUGAGGAGCGAAAGCGUGGGGAGCGAACAGG
rnacentral:rRNA from 1 species